CCUGGCGGCACUAGCGCGGUGGUCCCACCUGACCCCAUGCCGAACUCAGAAGUGAAAACGCCGUAGCGCCGAUGGUAGUGUGGGGUC
rnacentral:rRNA from 1 species